UAGAGUACCGUGGUUGUAAACCCUAUUAAUGGGUACACGUCACGUUACAUAAACUCGACUUCAUGUCCCUAUCUACUAUCUAGCGAAACCACAGCCAAGGGAACGGGCUUGGAAUAAUUAGCGGGGAAAGAAGACCCUUUUGAGCUUGACUCUAAUCUGGCAGUGUAAGGAGACAUAAGAGGAGUAGAAUAAGUGGGAGAUAUUAUUCCUUGUGUUUGAUAUCGCCAAUGAAAUACCACUACUCUUAUUGUUUCCUUACUUACUUGAUUAAAUGGAACGUGUAUCAUUUCCUAGCCAUUAUACGGAUAUAUUUAUUAUAUCUUAUGGUAUUGGGUUUUGAUGCAAGCUUCUUGAUCGAAGUAUCACGAGUUUGUUAUAUAAUCGCAAACAAAUUCUUUAAUGAGAGAGUGCAUUUAUGUAUUUUUAAUUUGAAAUAUUUGGUAUAACUCCAAUUACUCAGGUAUGAUCCAAUUCAAGGACAUUGCCAGGUAGGGAGUUUGACUGGGGCGGUACAUCUCUCAAAUAAUAACGGAGG
rnacentral:ncRNA from 1 species